AUUGAACGCUGGCGGCAGGCCUAACACAUGCAAGUCGAGCGGAUGAAGGGAGCUUGCUCCUGGAUUCAGCGGCGGACGGGUGAGUAAUGCCUAGGAAUCUGCCUGGUAGUGGGGGAUAACGUCCGGAAACGGGCGCUAAUACCGCAUACGUCCUGAGGGAGAAAGUGGGGGAUCUUCGGACCUCACGCUAUAAGAUGAGCCUAGGUCGGAUUAGCUAGUUGGUGGGGUAAAGGCCUACCAAGGCGACGAUCCGUAACUGGUCUGAGAGGAUGAUCAGUCACACUGGAACUGAGACACGGUCCAGACUCCUACGGGAGGCAGCAGUGGGGAAUAUUGCACAAUGGGCGAAAGCCUGAUCCAGCCAUGCCGCGUGUGUGAAGAAGGUCUUCGGAUUGUAAAGCACUUUAAGUUGGGAGGAAGGGCAGUAAGUUAAUACCUUGCUGUUUUGACGUUACCAACAGAAUAAGCACCGGCUAACUUCGUG
rnacentral:rRNA from 1 species